UAAGGAAUAUUGGUCAAUGGACGAAAGUCUGAACCAGCCAUGCCGCGUGAAGGAUGACGGCCCUAUGGGUUGUAAACUUCUUUUGUACGGGAAUAAACCCAGGUACGUGUACCUGGCUGAAUGUACCGUAAGAAUAAGGAUCGGCUAACUCCGUGCCAGCAGCCGCGGUAAUACGGAGGAUCCAAGCGUUAUCCGGAUUCAUUGGGUUUAAAGGGUGCGUAGGCGGAUUUGUAAGUCAGUGGUGAAAGCCUACAGCUUAACUGUAGAACUGCCAUUGAUACUGCAAGUCUUGAGUACACUUGACGUGGGCGGAAUGUGUCAUGUAGCGGUGAAAUGCUUAGAUAUGACACAGAACACCGAUUGCGAAGGCAGCUCACGAAAUUGUAACUGACGCUGAGGC
rnacentral:rRNA from 1 species